rnacentral:rRNA from 1 species
AGACCGAUAGCGAACAAGUACAGUGAUGGAAAGAUGAAAAGAACUUUGAAAAGAGAGUGAAAAAGUACGUGAAAUUGUUGAAAGGGAAGGGCUUGAGAUCAGACUUGGUAUUUUGUAUGUUACUUCUUCGGGGGUGGCCUCUACAGUUUAUCGGGCCAGCAUCAGUUUGGGCGGUAGGAGAAUUGCGUUGGAAUGUGGCACGGCCUCGGUUGUGUGUUAUAGCCUUCGUCGAUACUGCCAGCCUAGACUGAGGACUGCGGUUUAUACCUAGGAUGUUGGCAUAAUGAUCUUAAGUCGCCCGUCUUGAAACACGGACCAAG